UACGUAGGGCGCGAGCGUUUGUCCGGAAUUAUUGGGCGUAAAGAGCUCGUAGGCGGCUUGUCACGUCGGGUGUGAAAGACCGGGGCUCAACCCCGUGUCAGCCCGGGAUACUGGGGAGCUAGGGACAUGUAGGGGCGAGCGGAAUUCCGGGUGUAGCGGUGGAAUGCGUAGAGAUCCGGAAGAACACCGGGGGCGAAGGCGGCUCGCUGGGCAUGGUCCGACGCUGAGGCGCGAAAGCGUGGGGAGCGAACGAGG
rnacentral:rRNA from 1 species